rnacentral:rRNA from 1 species
GACGAACGCUGGCGGCGUGCCUAAUACAUGCAAGUAGAACGCUGAAGGAGGGGCUUGCUCUUCUGGAUGAGUUGCGAACGGGUGAGUAACGCGUAGGUAACCUGCCUGGUAGCGGGGGAUAACUAUUGGAAACGAUAGCUAAUACCGCAUAACAGUAGAUGUUGCAUGACAUUUACUUAAAAGGUGCAAUUGCAUCACUACCAGAUGGGCCUGCGUUGUAUUAGCUAGUUGGUGGGGUAACGGCUCACCAAGGCGACGAUACAUAGCCGACCUGAGAGGGUGAUCGGCCACACAGGGACUGAGACACGGCCCAGACUCCUACGGGAGGCAGCAGUAGGGAAUCUUCGGCAAUGGACGGAAGUCUGACCGAGCAACGCCGCGUGAGUGAAGAAGGUUUUCGGAUCGUAAAGCUCUGUUGUAAGAGAAGAACGAGUGUGAGAGUGGAAAGUUCACACUGUGACGGUAUCUUACCAGAAAGGGACGGCUAACUACGUG